GACGAACGCUGGCGGCGUGCUUAACACAUGCAAGUCGAACGGAAAGGCCCUGCUUUUGUGGGGUGCUCGAGUGGCGAACGGGUGAGUAACACGUGAGUAACCUGCCCUUGACUUUGGGAUAACUUCAGGAAACUGGGGCUAAUACCGGAUAGGAGCUCCUGCUGCAUGGUGGGGGUUGGAAAGUUUCGGCGGUUGGGGAUGGACUCGCGGCUUAUCAGCUUGUUGGUAGGGUAGUGGCUUACCAAGGCUUUGACGGGUAGCCGGCCUGAGAGGGUGACCGGCCACAUUGGGACUGAGAUACGGCCUAGACUCCUACGGGAGGCAGCAGUGGGGAAUAUUGCACAAUGGGCGGAAGCCUGAUACAGCAACGCCGCGUGCGGGAUGACGGCCUUCGGGUUGUAAACCGCUUUCGCCUGUGACGAAGCGUGAGUGACGGUAAUGGGUAAAGAAGCACCGGCUAACUACGUG
rnacentral:rRNA from 1 species